rnacentral:rRNA from 1 species
GAUGAACGCUGGCGGCGUGCCUCAAACAUGCAAGUCGAGCGGGGCUAUGUAAUAUCGCAAGGUAGAACAUAGCCUAGCGGCGAACGGGUGAGUAACACGUGGGUAACCUGCCUGGAAGACAGGGAUAACGAUUCGAAAGGGUCGCUAAUACCUGAUAAUAUCCUUUCAUCGCAUGGUGAUAGGAAGAAAGGGGAAACCCGCUUUCAGAUGGGCCCGCGUCCCAUCAGCUAGUUGGUAAGGUAAAGGCUUACCAAGGCGACGACGGGUAGCCGGUCUGAGAGGAUGUACGGCCACACUGGGACUGAGAUACGGCCCAGACUCCUACGGGAGGCAGCAGUUGGGAAUCUUAGGCAAUGGACGAAAGUCUGACCUAGCAACGCCGCGUGGGUGAAGAAGGCCUUCGGGUUGUAAAGCCCUGUCUUAUGGGAAGAAGUCAGUGACGGUACCAUAGGAGGAAGCCACGGCUAACUACGUG